GGGGAUAACUACUGGAAACGGUAGCUAAUACCGCAUACGCCCUACGGGGGAAAGCAGGGGACCUUCGGGCCUUGCGCGAUUGGAUGAACCCAGGUGGGAUUAGCUAGUUGGUGAGGUAAUGGCUCACCAAGGCGACGAUCCCUAGCUGGUCUGAGAGGAUGAUCAGCCACACUGGAACUGAGACACGGUCCAGACUCCUACGGGAGGCAGCAGUGGGGAAUAUUGCACAAUGGGGGAAACCCUGAUGCAGCCAUGCCGCGUGUGUGAAGAAGGCCUUCGGGUUGUAAAGCACUUUCAGCGAGGAGGAAAGGUUGGUAGCUAAUAACUGCCAGCUGUGACGUUACUCGCAGAAGAAGCACCGGCUAACUCCGUGCC
rnacentral:rRNA from 1 species